rnacentral:rRNA from 1 species
AUUGAACGCUGGCGGCAGGCCUAACACAUGCAAGUCGAGCGGCAGCGGAAAGUAGCUUGCUACUUUGCCGGCGAGCGGCGGACGGGUGAGUAAUGUCUGGGAAACUGCCUGAUGGAGGGGGAUAACUACUGGAAACGGUGGCUAAUACCGCAUAACGUCGCAAGACCAAAGUGGGGGACCUUCGGGCCUCACGCCAUCGGAUGUGCCCAGAUGGGAUUAGCUAGUAGGUGGGGUAAUGGCUCACCUAGGCGACGAUCCCUAGCUGGUCUGAGAGGAUGACCAGCCACACUGGAACUGAGACACGGUCCAGACUCCUACGGGAGGCAGCAGUGGGGAAUAUUGCACAAUGGGCGCAAGCCUGAUGCAGCCAUGCCGCGUGUGUGAAGAAGGCCUUCGGGUUGUAAAGCACUUUCAGCGAGGAGGAAGGCAUCACACUUAAUACGUGUGGUGAUUGACGUUACUCGCAGAAGAAGCACCGGCUAACUCCGUGCCAGCAGCCGCGGUAAUACGGAGGGUGCAAGCGUUAAUCGGAAUUACUGGGCGUAAAGCGCACGCAGGCGGUUUGUUAAGUCAGAUGUGAAAUCCCCGCGCUUAACGUGGGAACUGCAUUUGAAACUGGCAAGCUAGAGUCUUGUANAGGGGGGUAGAAUUCC